UCCAUAAAGGUAUCCCACAAUGUAUUGAGGGUUAUUAAUUGUUUUUGUUCAGUACAAACUUUCAACAUUUAUAUAUAAGCAUAUCAUAGGUCACUUUGUUGUCAUUUUUUUAGUUGUAAUCGUCAUGGUUACUGGGCAGCUUCCUGUAUUUCUGUCACAUGGCUGUGUAAUGAAUGUCCCACCUGUGUCCUGAUUAUUGUUUUGCAGCACUUCUUUAUGUGGACCAGGGGUAAUAUAUCACUGCUUUGUUAAGUUGAUGAGGCAGCUGUCACUCUGAUGUUUAACCAGCACCAGUAGGAUGCAUAUUAUUACAAACAGAAACAGAUGUACGUGCAAUGUUGAUGCAUAUUCUCUCAAGUCAAGAUGGAUUUACUUAGAACAUAUGCAUAUUCUCACAGAGAAUUUACAUAUAUGUACAUUCUCUGAACAGAUUUUAAUGUUAGAUACACUUCACUUUGAAGCUGACAGCACCUUUGAUGCUAAGUGUUUUGUAGUUACCUGAGCCUCUAUUUUGGUUUAAGUAUAGCUUUGAAGUUCUCCGUUUCUACCUGUAAGCUUUCUAUUAUUGAUUGAUCAUACAGUAAGUCUCAGUCUUUCUGUUUUAAAAUAUUAUGGGCGUUAAUGUUAAUGUCUGCCUCUGGAGAGCUGUUUCAGCCAUGACGUGGUUGAUUGCUGUUGUACAGCAUGGACUGGUGCUCGCACUGUCGACCACUGCUUUUCCUACCUUGAUGUAUUAGUUUAUGCUGGCUGCUGUGAUAUAGACUUGCUGACUAGCGCGUUCAACAUUGUCUUUGCCUCCUUAAGUAGUCUGGUAGGAGUCUGGUGCAACUCUGUUUUGUAGAGAACUUGCAUAAAACAUUGGAAACACAACCCUAUUAUUUUCAGGACUUUAUAUAUUUUCAUCAAGAUAACAAUGAUUACAGACAGAUAAAAACAUGAUUAUUUUUGUGUGAUUUGAAAAAAGCCCUGUUACAUUAAAGAUUUAUAUCUUUCUUUUUUUGGUUCCAGCAAUUUUGGGGGCUGGUCACCCACCCAAUUAAAAAUGUUUUUAUUUUGAGCUAAAAAUGCAUAUCAUAUUUUAAAUAGAUCAGCUGAUACAUUAACAAUACUUAUACUGCAUGAUAUCAGGUUGGUUGGUUGGUUGGACAAAACAAUCCAGUGAUCAAGAUCAUGAGCAUCGAUGUCAGACCACAGUAUCUGAAGAUCUUGAACUCCUUCCCCAACACUUUGUAUUGAUUUGUCCUUUUUGUAUGUUAUAUAAUUAACUCCUGAAAAUGACAGAAUAUUCAAAUCACAUUCAAUGACCCAAUGACCUUCAGCACUUCUGGGUAACCUUGAAGCCGAAUUGAACAAUACCUGACUCAAAAACAUUUCUGUAAAAGACGAAACAUAUAAAUACCACAUUGAUAUGCUUCUGAAAAAACUUAUUCUCAGAUUUUGUGGUUGAGCAAAAUAUUAAUGUUAGUAGCAUAAAUUUAGGUGGCAGUUUAAAAGCUAUGGUAUCAGUGAAGACAGCUGUGGCUUAGAGAUUUCAACAUCUUUGUUCUGUCUGUGUGAUGUUUCUCAACCGAUGAGGAUACUGUUAUGAAGCAAGCAUCGAUAAGGUUACCAGCAUCUGUACCCACACAUCACACAGAACAAUCCCUGUCUUCUUUGUGUGAGAGGGAGAAUAAACACCACUCAAAAGAAUUCUUUCUUAUCAAUACAUCUGUCAUGGAAUAUGGGGCAGUGGGGUAGGCCAGUGGUUAAAGCAUUCGCUUGUUCUAAAGGCCCAGGUUCGAUUCCCCACAUGGGUGAAAUGUGUAGCCCAUUUCUGGUGUCACCGACCGUGAUAUUGCUGGAAUAUUGCUAAAAGCGGCGUAAAACGAAACUCACUCACUAUCAGGGCAUGACAGACUGACUGCAGUAGUAUGAAAGAAUAAAAUGUCUAAAAAGAUUUAGUGGUAUGUAUUGUUUUAGCAUGAUACUAAAGUUAAUGUAUUUUGAUAGACAGAGGUUGGUUAUAUAAGAUAGUAUUAAAUAAUCAAAAAUGAAAUUUAAGCAACAUCAUAUAAGCAUUGAGAAACAAAUUACUGGUUCAUGAUUUUCAUUAAAUAUUCCUGUUUGACAUCUGUCAAUAUGCUGCUUGGUAUGUUCAACCCUGCUAUAAUUUGUCAGUAAGGGAACAUAGUUUCCUUUUGUUUUUGUGAAUGAUGAGUUGUAAUUUUUUGUCAAAAGAUUCUGAGAAAUGUUUUGUUCAGUUGGAAAUGUGCAUAUUUCUCACCACUCUUUCAUUGUGGAGUUGAUAUUUUUGGUUUCAAUGUUGAGGCAAAUCACAUAUAACUGUACCAAGAUCUUCAAAGAAUGUUGAGUGUUUCAUAUUCUCAGUUGUAUUGAUUUGACCUCAAGGGAAAGGUACAUAUUUGUGUAUUUUCUUGUUUCUGAUUGAAAUGUUGGCAGAUAAUCUCCGUAAAACAAGAAAUAUGUCUUGUGUAUGAGGGAUGUGUGAUAUGUGUGCAGCAUGUAGGGUCAGAUUUGUAAUUAUGUAUGUGACAAUGUAUUUAGAACAACUGUCACGGACCUUGGCAUUUUGUUUUAUAGGUGCCCUUGUCUUUCAGCACUGCAGACAGCAGGAUUGCAUAGGUACAUAGUUUUAGUUUGAGGUUUGCAAGUUGCCUUGUGUGUGUCAAGUUUGGUGCUUAGAUUUGUGAUGGUGGUGAAAUCUUGAGGGACCAGUUUUUUAAACUUGAGUUUUAUGUUGCGUGAAUCUGAUAUUUGUUUCAGUGAGUGUCAGUUGUUUGCAGGUUCAUUGUCCAUUUGUACAUUUGUGGGCAAUGGUUAUAACAUCAAUGUUUAAUCUUGUAUGGAAUUAGUGAUGAUGCAUGCCUGAUUGUAACAGGAGCCUGUCUGAACUACAAUAAAUGCUUGAAAAAAUGUCCGGCUUCAGACAGCCAUUGAGGAAAUGUUUUAGUUCAUCUUUGAGAUGGUGAAUGUGGAUCGGUUGUCCAUCAUGGAGAUGGUAAAUGUGGAUUGGUUGUCCAUCAUGGAGCUGGUGAAUGUGGAUCGGUUGUCCACCAUGGAGAUAAAGAAUGUGCAUCGGUUGUCCACCAUGGAGAAGGUGAAUGUGGAUCGGUUGUUCACCUUUGAGAUGGUGAAUGUGGAUUGAUUGUCCACCUUUGAGAUGGUGAAUGUGGAUCGGUUGUCCACCUUAGAGAUGGUGAAUGUGGAUCAGUUGUCUAUAAUGGAGAUGGUGAAUGUGGAUCAGUUGUCCAUCACAAAGAUGGGUGAAUGUUGAUCAGUUGUCCAUUACGAAGAUUGGUGAAUGUGGAUCAGUUGUCCUUCACAAAGAUGGGUGAAUGUGGAUCAGUUGUCCAUCAUGGAGAUGGGUGUAUGUGGAUCAGUUGUCAGUUAUGGAGAUGGGUAAAUGUUGAUCAGUUGUCCAUCAUGGAGAUGGUGAAUGUGGAUCAGUUGUCCAUCACAGAGAUGGGUGAAUUUGGAUCAGUUGUCCAUCACGGAGAUGGGUGAAUGUGGAUCGAUUGUCCAUCGUUGAAAGAUUGGUUUAUGAUAAUUGGGUGGCCAUCUAUCAGGUGGCUCCCAAGGAAACAUCAGUAUAUAGCUAAGGUGAUCUCAGGUUAUUUUGGUAUGAUAACUGUGACUCCAGAAUGAUUGCUAAAUAUCUCCUACCACAAUGUAAGGUCCUAUUUAUGUACAUAUCGUCACCUCAUUUGUAACCAGGGAGUGACUGAAGACUAUAACAGUGUGGGGUAAAGUCCAGAUUCAUGUCGACUAGUUGUCGGACAUUGUAUCAGUAGAGGUGUGUCGUCAAGUGAGUGUUUCUGCACCCUUGUGUAUCAUGUAUAUAUGGAGCAUUAUUUAACAUUACUUGAUUAUGCAGAGCGCUGUGUGCUAUUUAUGCAGAGUUCUUUAUAUUUUUUCACAAUGUGUUUUAGUUGUUCACAAUAGUAAUAUAAGGAGAAUGUUGAGGAUAUUAUUGAGGUCCUAUGAGGACAGUUCCAUCAUUGUUUGACAUGAAACAACAAGAAGUGACACUUGAACUCUGCAACAAAUGUUUCUCUAAAUAAUUCACCGAUUCUAUUAUGCAGGUUGCUUCUAUUGCAGUGUACAGCAUGGAGAAUGUAUGAGAGUAGUCGAACUCAGAUCCAUGUGAUGAAUUGAUAAUGGAGAAUGAUAACACACUGCUAACACGGUAUUUGAAGGCUAUUUGAUAUGGAUAUAUUUUUACAUGUUUCUAUAGACAUCUCCGAGAAUGUUCAGAAAAGAAACCCCAAAUAACUAACUUCUAUCCCUUGACAUUCACUCCUGUCGAGAUAAAUGUAGCCACCAGUGUGUAAAAUAUGAAUACAAACUGCCCCAUCUAAGACGGGUAUUUGGAAGAGUAGCAAACUUAUUUCUGCUUUGCUUUGAUAGUUAAAGAUACAAUAUCCUUCUGGAUGUUCAUAUUGGUGCAAUUCUUAUUCUGCCAGGGUAAGGUUCUGUGAAAGGGAUAUUGCUCUCUCCAUUUGACUUAAUGUUCCAAUCAAGUGUUGCCCAGCUUUACCUGCAAUAAGAGUAUAUUUUAUACAGGAAAGAGACCAUUUUUGUAUUUACUGCACCUUUCUGCCCGUGACAGUGCAGGUUAUCAACAGCAUUGCAUUGUCCAUUAUAGUCGCCCAUUGUCACAUCUCUGUGGACCAGGUUCAAUAAAUAACAUAGAACAUCA